rnacentral:rRNA from 1 species
AGUGAACGCUGGCGGCGUGCUUAACACAUGCAAGUCGAACGAGAACGGAAUAUAGCUUGCUAUAUUUGUCAGCUAAGUGGCGCACGGGCGAGUAAUGUAUAGAUAACCUGCCCUUAAGAAAGGAAUAACAGUUGGAAACGACUGCUAAUGCCCUAUAUGCCUUUAAUACAUAAGUAUGCAAGGGAAACGCUUUAGUGCUUAAGGAUGGGUCUGUGUGGUAUCAGCUUGUUGGUGAGGUAAUGGCUCACCAAGGCUAUGACGCCUAACUGGUUUGAGAGGAUGAUCAGUCACACUGGAACUGAGACACGGUCCAGACUCCUACGGGAGGCAGCAGUGGGGAAUAUUGCACAAUGGACGAAAGUCUGAUGCAGCAACGCCGCGUGGAGGAUGACACAUUUCGGUGCGUAAACUCCUUUUAUAUAGGAAGAUAAUGACGGUACUAUAUGAAUAAGCACCGGCUAACUCCGUGCCAGCCGCCGCAGUAA